CUUUUUUUUUCUUUUUCCCUUAAACUUUUUACAUAUAAUCUCCUCUCACCAAAUAGGUUAUUAAAUUAUAUUUUAGAGGUAAUUUCAGACAAAUGUAUUUUUAAAAGUAGUUACAGUUUCAGGUGGAAUUAUCUUGACCUCUAUUAAAAUUCCUUUUCCUAUGUUUGCAUCUUCAAAAGUAAUCAGAUGUUAAUUCUAAGAAAUCUUAAGAAAACCUCUUUUCCAAAAGUGACGUUGGAAUAAUUUCAAAUUGAAGAGAUAUAUUUUGUAGAAACAGUAUUAUUUAUCUAUUGGUAUCUGCUCAUCCAACCUCUUGAUUCCUGGACAGUAAAGUUGGAAACAUUUAAAGUGAACAUUUGCUCUUUUUAAAGUGGUUAAUGCAUUUUUGUUCUUUAUAAACAGUUCAAAAGAAUGCUGAACCGGGAGCUGACACACCUCUCAGAGAUGAGCCGAUCAGGGAACCAGGUGUCUGAAUACAUUUCAAAUACUUUCUUAGACAAACAGAAUGAUGUGGAGAUCCCAUCUCCUACCCAGAAAGACAGGGAGAAAAAGAAAAAGCAGCAGCUCAUGACCCAGAUAAGUGGAGUGAAGAAAUUAAUGCAUAGUUCAAGCUUAAACAAUACAAGCAUCUCACGCUUUGGAGUCAACACUGAAAAUGAAGAUCACCUGGCCAAGGAGCUGGAAGACCUGAACAAAUGGGGUCUUAACAUCUUUAAUGUGGCUGGAUAUUCCCACAAUAGGCCCCUAACAUGCAUCAUGUAUGCUAUAUUCCAGGAAAGAGACCUCCUAAAGACAUUCAGAAUCUCAUCUGACACAUUUAUAACCUACAUGAUGACUUUAGAAGACCAUUACCAUUCUGAUGUGGC
rnacentral:sRNA from 1 species